GAUCAUGGCUACAGGACGAACGCUGGCGGCGUGCUUAACACACGCAAGUCGAACGGAAAGGCCCUGCUUUUGUGGGGUGCUCGAGUGGCGAACGGGUGAGUAACACGUGAGUAACCUGCCCUUGACUUUGGGAUAACUUCAGGAAACUGGGGCUAAUACCGGAUAGGAGCUCCUGCUGCAUGGUGGGGGUUGGAAAGUUUCGGCGGUUGGGGAUGGACUCGCGGCUUAUCAGCUUGUUGGUGGGGUAGUGGCUUACCAAGGCUUUGACGGGUAGCCGGCCUGAGAGGGUGACCGGCCACAUUGGGACUGAGAUACGGCCCAGACUCCUACGGGAGGCAGCAGUGGGGAAUAUUGCACAAUGGGCGGAAGCCUGAUGCAGCAACGCCGCGUGCGGGAUGACGGCCUUCGGGUUGUAAACCGCUUUCGCCUGUGACGAAGCGUGAGUGACGGUAAUGGGUAAAGAAGCACCGGCUAACUACGUG
rnacentral:rRNA from 1 species